rnacentral:rRNA from 1 species
AGAGUUUGAUCAUGGCUCAGGAUGAACGCUGGCGGCGUGCCUAACACAUGCAAGUCGAACGGUUAAGGCGGCUUCGGCCGCGGAUAAAGUGGCGAACGGGUGAGUAACGCGUGACCGACCUUCCCCCCGCACCGGGACAACCGCGGGAAACCGCGGCUGAUACCGGGUACUCCGGGGCCUUCGCAUGAAGGCCCCGGGAAAGCUCCGGCGGCGGGGGAUGGGGUCGCGUCCCAUCAGGUAGUAGGCGGGGCAACGGCCCACCUAGCCGACGACGGGUAGCCGGGUUGAGAGACCGACCGGCCACAUUGGGACUGAGAUACGGCCCAGACUCCUACGGGAGGCA